rnacentral:rRNA from 1 species
GGAAUAUUGGACAAUGGGCGCAAGCCUGAUCCAGCCAUGCCGCGUGCAGGAUGACGGUCCUAUGGAUUGUAAACUGCUUUUAUACGAGAAGAAACACUACUUCGUGAAGUAGCUUGACGGUAUCGUAAGAAUAAGGAUCGGCUAACUCCGUGCCAGCAGCCGCGGUAAUACGGAGGAUCCAAGCGUUAUCCGGAAUCAUUGGGUUUAAAGGGUCCGUAGGCGGUUUAAUAAGUCAGUGGUGAAAGCCCAUCGCUCAACGGUGGAACGGCCAUUGAUACUGUUAGACUUGAAUUAUUAGGAAGUAACUAGAAUAUGUAGUGUAGCGGUGAAAUGCUUAGAGAUUACAUGGAAUACCAAUUGCGAAGGCAGGUUACUACUAAUUGAUUGACGCUGAUGGACGAAAGCGUGGGUAGCGAACAGGAUUAGAUACCCCGG